AUGUUAGAGAAGUUCCUUUUGAGUUUCUUGGUUGCUGGUGGAAGAAAAGAAAACAAUAGGAUGUUGGAGUUAUUACACAUGAUGGAAGGUGAAGGGAAAAUCCAUAGGCAAGGUCAAUUGUUCUGUUCGACUUCUUCUCUUGGUGUUGAACACUUUUCUGGCUUUGGAACUGGAUUUCUUACACUACUGCUUCUUCUCUCUUGUGGCGGACUUACUGGUUGGCAAUCUGCAUGGAGUGCAUCUUUGAUUCUUGAUAGUACUGUAAAGUCCAAACAUUCCAAUAUUUGUGAAUAG